GGCACUUUGGCGGAGUGGUUAACGCGUCAGCCUCGAACUUUCUGAGCUUCUUCUAAUUGGCUCAUCUAUGUCAGCUGAUUCCUUCGGGAGCGUGUGUUCGAAUCACACAGGUGUCG